GGCGUCCAUCCAUCUGGUAAGAAGUACCCAGAGGAACUAAAGCAUGUCAUCGUAGAAGUUGCUGCUACAAAAAUUUCUCAGACUUCAAAAAGAAAAGAAAGCGAACCUAAAAUAAAGGCAAGCAAUCCAAAUCAGGAAAAUUGCACUUCUAGUGAAGCACAGUACCCCAGUUGUACACCUUAUUGUCUUGAUUAGAUCUUCUCAACUUUUAACUUUUGAGAUUUUUGAACAUGCUCUUUAGCAGCUUAAAGGAAAAAGCUGUGGAGAAUUAAAUUCGGAUACAAAUGAAAAGACCCGCCUGCAUCAAGCUUCAGGCAUCGCAUCUAUCCAAAAAAUAUCCACGAAAAAAUAAAAACGUAAAAGAAUGGAGGGAAAGUUUGAGUAAAAACGAGUACUACGAACCAUCUCUUUCAAGUUUUUCAAUUUCCUCACGGUGCUUUCUUUCUGCCUCCUGAAGUUCUCUUGCGGCAUCCUCCUCUUCCUCAAUUUGGUCAAGAUCAUCAAAUUCCUUGCUGGCUGCCAUUGCUUUCACAACAGGAUCUCUCAGCUCAGAUAUUAGUCCACCGCCAACCUUAUACUCAUCCUCAUCUCCAAUCAGAAACAAUCUCUGGUCAGGUCCCGAUGCCAUGGGAAUGUCAACAGCUAAUAGCUUCAUAUCAUACUGGCCUUUUUUCUUCUUAACUUCAACACUGACUAGACCCUUCCUCUCCGACCCUCGUAUUGGGAAGAUGAGAAAACACCUCUUGCUCCUAAGCCUUGGCUUGAAGUUCUUCAGUGUAAUCCCACCUCCAGACAUCACAUAAGCUCUAAGUUCUGUUCCUGCGAGUGGAGCACCCAUAACCUCAAGAAUUCCAGCAGAAGUAUUAAGCUUCCUCAUAGCCAUUCUAUAAACUCUAUCAGGAUUGAUUGUGAUUCUAGAGCGGAUAUACAGGCCUGCAAAGGCAACUAUGGCUGAAGAAAGGGCAAGGAACCCAUAUUUGGCCAUGCCUUCAGAAAGGCCAACGAAAGUAUUUGCAAUACCAAACAUAACCCUCCAAAGCAAAGCACACAAUACAACUCCUCCGGCACCGAGCAGGAAGAGAAAAUUCCUCUUCCAGAAGGCAUCAAUUUGCAACCCUAAAGCAUCACGGUACCCCGAAAAAGUAGAGGAAACUGCCGCAGCAGGCUUCUCGAACACCUUUUUUGCAAAAUUCCCAUUGAAAGUUUUGCCAAAAUUCGAAGAAGAUUUGAAAGAAAACUGCCUCAUCCCGUAGGAACAACUCUGUUUAGCAAACGGGUGGUAAGUCCUCAAUGAAGAAGAGAAGUUGGGUUUUGCCCACGAGAGAACCUGAGAUAAACCCCCAUUUGAAGAAGUCGAAUUUGAACAAAAAGAUGGGCUGGAGUGGAUUUGAGAGUUUAAAAGAGUGGAGUUGGAGAACCCAUUUGAGUAAGGUCUUGCAAGUGAGCUGCCAAUUUUGCAGGCGAUAGAAGAAGUGCUUGGAGAUGAGGGUUUUGAAUUGGAGACAUGUUGGCGAUAGUGAAGUCCGAGGAGUCCAUGGAUGAUUCUUGGGGAAGGUUUUGACAUUGCUGCUUUGGUGAUUUAGAUUCACAAAUCGCACAAACUCAGAAGGAAAUCAAUCUUAAAAACGCAUAAUUGUUGGUGAAAAUGACAUUCUUCGACUCAGGCUAGCAAGCAGAAAGGACUGUGUACUUCGUUUCGUUGGGUUCUUGGGGGAGAAGGCAAAGCAUCGUCGCAAACAUCGAGGUUGGCGCUUCCACAAGGUCAAAU
rnacentral:misc_RNA from 1 species